UAGCCGCAGUACUCUGACUGUGCAAAGGUAGCAUAAUCAGUUGGCUUUUAAUUAAAGUCUGGAAUGAACGAAAUCAUGAGUGGUAACUAUCUUUAGUAUAUUUUAUUGAACUUAAUAAGUAAGUGAAAAUGCUUACAUUAUAACAAAAGACGAGAAGACCCUAGAAACUUAAAUUGUUUUUUGUUGGGGCGACAGAAUUACAUUUAACUAGUUUUAUAGGACGAGCCGUGUGAAUGAAAGAAUAAGUUACUCUAGGGAUAACAGCAUAAUUUUUUUAGUUUGUGACCUCGAUGUUGGACUAGGUAUUAUAUCCUUAAGGCAAGGAUAUAAAAUGCUCUGUUCGAGCAAGUUAACCUACAU
rnacentral:rRNA from 1 species